rnacentral:rRNA from 1 species
UGGAUCAUGUUGUUUAAUUCGAUGAUACGCGAAGAACCUUACCAGGUCUUGACAUCCCAUGCAAAGCUAUAGAGAUAUAGUGGAGGUUACCACGGAGACAGGUGGUGCAUGGUUGUCGUCAGCUCGUGUCGUGAGAUGUUGGGUUAAGUCCCGCAACGAGCGCAACCCUUAUUGCUAGUUACCAUCAUUAAGUUGGGGACUCUAGCGAGACUGCCAGUGAUAAACUGGAGGAAGGUGGGGAUGACGUCAAAUCAUCAUGCCCCUUAUGACCUGGGCUACAAACGUGAUACAAUGGCUGAAACAAAGGGCAGCGAAGCAGUGAUGUGAAGCGAAACCCAAAAAAGCAGUCUCAGUUCGGAUUGAAGUCUGCAACUCGACUUCAUGAAGUCGGAAUCGCUAGUAAUCGCGAAUCAGAACGUCGCGGUGAAUACGUUCUCGGGGUUU